rnacentral:rRNA from 1 species
GACAGAGGGUGCAAACGUUGCUCGGAUUUACUGGGCGUAAAGCGCGUGUAGGCGGGCGAUUAAGUCGGAUGUGAAAUCCCUGGGCUCAACCUAGGAACUGCAUUCGAAACUGGUCACCUAGAGUGAUGGAGAGGAAAGCGGAAUUCCCGGUGUAGAGGUGAAAUUCGUAGAUAUCGGGAGGAACACCAGUGGCGAAGGCGGCUUUCUGGGCCUUACCUGACGCUGAGACGCGAAAGCGUGGGGAGCGAACCGG